CAGUAGCCACGGGAAUACAGAGGGUGCGAGCGUUAAUCGGAUUUACUGGGCGUAAAGCGUGCGUAGGCGGCUAAUUGAGUCGGAUGUGAAAUCCCCGAGCUUAACUUGGGAAUUGCAUUCGAUACUGGUUAGCUAGAGUGUGGGAGAGGAUGGUAGAAUUCCAGGUGUAGCGGUGAAAUGCGUAGAGAUCUGGAGGAAUACCGAUGGCGAAGGCAGCCAUCUGGCCUAACACUGACGCUGAGGUACGAAAGCAUGGGGAGCAAACAGGAUUAGAUACCCCAGUAGUCCCUGUCUCUUAUAC
rnacentral:rRNA from 1 species